rnacentral:ncRNA from 1 species
CAAUCCUAUGUGGCAUGUCUCAUAAGCAAGUAUUUCUAUUAGGUAUGACCUUAAAAAAGAGGGGGUCAAAGUCGGCUAGUGAGACAAUGGGGGAUGAGCUUCAUCAUCGAGAGCGAAACAACCCGGAUCACCAGCUAAGGCUCCUAAAUGACCGCUCAGUGAUAAAAGAGGUAGGGGUGUGGAGACAGCCAGGAGGUUUUCCUAGAAGCAGCCACCAUUGAAAGAGCGCGUAAUAGCUCACUGAUCGAGUGCUCUUGCGCCGAAGAUGAACGGGGCUAAGUGAUCUGCCGAAGCUGUGGGGUGUAAAAAUACAUCGGUAGGGGGAGUGUUUCCUCCUUAGAGGGAAGCAUCCAUACGAUUGGUGGUGGACGAAGCGGAAGUA